rnacentral:sRNA from 1 species
GAAGUCACUUCCCAUCCCGGUUCGCUUGGGGGGAAACCAGGCGUCCCUGGAAGGGAAGGGAAGGGAGUCCGGGCUGCGCGGGUCAGCCCGUCGCCUUUCUGACCACGUCCCUACGGUUUCCCGGCAUCCGCCUCCCUCACCCCACCACACCUGAGGAAAACUUUUCCCUCGCCCCUCAAUUCAAAUUCAGCAGUGCCCACGGUUGCCGCAAACCGCCCGGUCCCUAGCAACAAGGUUCCGGCCGUAGAGCGAGAGCCUCUAGGUGUAAGGAAGGUGAUGUCGUAAAGCCGGGAGUGUCGUAAACCAGUUUUCAGUUUAAAUUCUCAACUGGCAAUUGGCCGAAAACUCCCAUCUGAAGACAUGAUCAUCCAAAUGUCAUUUUGUGAUUUGGCUACUGUCUGCUUGACAUAGGAAAGCACUAUCAAGAAAGACUAAUGGAGUGACUAUCAAAAGGAAGUCAAUGACUGAAUUUAAAAUUGUUACAUGCAGACAUUUUUAAAGGACAACCUUAAACUUCCACCACAAGAGGAAUAUAAAGAGGUCCCUCCUGCACCAAGAAAGAUCUGCAGAUCUUUUUCAGUGUUCUUGGAGGUGUGGGGUGUGAGAACUUGAUCAGUUUGUGUCAGCCACCUUGUUCUCUAAAGUUACAAAUUAUAAUACUGUGGUAGAAACAAAUUCAGAUUCAGAUGAUGAAGACAAACUGCAUAUUGUGGAAGAAGAAAGUGUUACAGAUGCAGCUGACUGUGAAGGUGUACCAGAGGAUGACCUGCCAACAGACCAGACAGUGUUACCAGGGAGGAGCAGUGAAAGAGAAGGGAAUGCUAAGAACUGCUGGGAGGAUGACACAGGAAAGGAAGGGCAAGAAAUCCUGGGGCCUGAAGCUCAGGCAGAUGAAGCAGGAUGUACAGUAAAAGAUGAUGAAUGCGAGUCAGAUGCAGAAAAUGAGCAAAACCAUGAUCCUAAUGUUGAAGAGUUUCUACAACAACAAGACACUGCUGUCAUUUUUCCUGAGGCACCUGAAGAGGACCAGAGGCAGGGCACACCAGAAGCCAGUGGUCAUGAUGAAAAUGGAACACCAGAUGCAUUUUCACAAUUACUCACCUGUCCAUAUUGUGAUAGAGGCUAUAAACGCUUUACCUCUCUGAAAGAACACAUUAAAUAUCGUCAUGAAAAGAAUGAAGAUAACUUUAGUUGCUCCCUGUGCAGUUACACCUUUGCAUACAGAACCCAACUUGAACGUCACAUGACAUCACAUAAAUCAGGAAGAGAUCAAAGACAUGUGACGCAGUCUGGGUGUAAUCGUAAAUUCAAAUGCACUGAGUGUGGAAAAGCUUUCAAAUACAAACAUCACCUAAAAGAGCACUUAAGAAUUCACAGUGGAGAGAAGCCAUAUGAAUGCCCAAACUGCAAGAAACGCUUUUCCCAUUCUGGCUCCUAUAGCUCACACAUAAGCAGUAAGAAAUGUAUCAGCUUGAUACCUGUGAAUGGGCGACCAAGAACAGGACUCAAGACAUCUCAGUGUUCUUCACCGUCUCUUUCAGCAUCACCAGGCAGUCCCACACGACCACAGAUACGGCAAAAGAUAGAGAAUAAACCCCUUCAAGAACAACUUUCUGUUAACCAAAUUAAAACUGAACCUGUGGAUUAUGAAUUCAAACCCAUAGUGGUUGCUUCAGGAAUCAACUGUUCAACCCCUUUACAAAAUGGGGUUUUCACUGGUGGUGGCCCAUUACAGGCAACCAGUUCUCCUCAGGGCAUGGUGCAAGCUGUUGUUCUGCCAACAGUUGGUUUGGUGUCUCCCAUAAGUAUCAAUUUAAGUGAUAUUCAGAAUGUACUUAAAGUGGCGGUAGAUGGUAAUGUAAUAAGGCAAGUGUUGGAGAAUAAUCAAGCCAAUCUUGCAUCCAAAGAACAAGAAACAAUCAAUGCUUCACCCAUACAACAAGGUGGCCAUUCUGUUAUUUCAGCCAUCAGUCUUCCUUUGGUUGAUCAAGAUGGAACAACCAAAAUUAUCAUCAACUACAGUCUUGAGCAGCCUAGCCAACUUCAAGUUGUUCCUCAAAAUUUAAAAAAAGAAAAUCCAGUCGCUACAAACAGUUGUAAAAGUGAAAAGUUACCAGAAGAUCUUACUGUUAAGUCUGAGAAGGACAAAAGCUUUGAAGGGGGGGUGAAUGAUAGCACUUGUCUUCUGUGUGAUGAUUGUCCAGGAGAUAUUAAUGCACUUCCAGAAUUAAAGCACUAUGACCUAAAGCAGCCUACUCAGCCUCCUCCACUCCCUGCAGCAGAAGCUGAGAAGCCUGAGUCCUCUGUUUCAUCAGCUACUGGAGAUGGCAAUUUGUCUCCUAGUCAGCCACCUUUAAAGAACCUCUUGUCUCUCCUAAAAGCAUAUUAUGCUUUGAAUGCACAACCAAGUGCAGAAGAGCUCUCAAAAAUUGCUGAUUCAGUAAACCUACCACUGGAUGUAGUAAAAAAGUGGUUUGAAAAGAUGCAAGCUGGACAGAUUUCAGUGCAGUCUUCUGAACCAUCUUCUCCUGAACCAGGCAAAGUAAAUAUCCCUGCCAAGAACAAUGAUCAGCCUCAAUCUGCAAAUGCAAAUGAACCCCAGGACAGCACAGUAAAUCUACAAAGUCCUUUGAAGAUGACUAACUCCCCAGUUUUACCGGUGGGAUCAACCACCAAUGGUUCCAGAAGUAGUACACCAUCCCCAUCACCUCUAAACCUUUCCUCAUCCAGAAAUACACAGGGUUACUUGUACACAGCUGAGGGUGCACAAGAAGAGCCACAAGUAGAACCUCUUGAUCUUUCGCUACCAAAGCAACAGGGAGAAUUAUUAGAAAGGUCAACUAUCACUAGUGUUUACCAGAACAGUGUUUAUUCUGUCCAGGAAGAACCCUUGAACUUGUCUUGCGCAAAAAAGGAGCCACAAAAGGACAGUUGUGUUACAGACUCAGAACCAGUUGUAAAUGUAAUCCCACCAAGUGCCAACCCCAUAAAUAUCGCUAUACCUACAGUCACUGCCCAGUUACCCACAAUCGUGGCCAUUGCUGACCAGAACAGUGUUCCAUGCUUACGAGCGCUAGCUGCCAAUAAGCAAACGAUUCUGAUUCCCCAGGUGGCAUACACCUACUCAACUACGGUCAGCCCUGCAGUCCAAGAACCACCCUUGAAAGUGAUCCAGCCAAAUGGAAAUCAGGAUGAAAGACAAGAUACUAGCUCAGAAGGAGUAUCAAAUGUAGAGGAUCAGAAUGACUCUGAUUCUACACCUCCCAAAAAGAAAAUGCGGAAGACAGAAAAUGGAAUGUAUGCUUGUGAUUUGUGUGACAAGAUAUUCCAAAAGAGUAGUUCAUUAUUGAGACAUAAAUAUGAACACACAGGUAAAAGACCUCAUGAGUGUGGAAUCUGUAAAAAGGCAUUUAAACACAAACAUCAUUUGAUUGAACACAUGCGAUUACAUUCUGGAGAAAAGCCCUAUCAAUGUGACAAAUGUGGAAAGCGCUUCUCACACUCUGGGUCUUAUUCUCAACACAUGAAUCAUCGCUACUCCUACUGUAAGAGAGAAGCGGAAGAACGUGACAGCACAGAGCAGGAAGAGGCAGGGCCUGAAAUCCUCUCGAACGAGCACGUGGGUGCCAGGGCGUCUCCCUCACAGGGCGACUCGGACGAGAGAGAGAGUUUGACAAGGGAAGAGGAUGAAGACAGUGAAAAAGAGGAAGAGGAGGAGGAUAAAGAGAUGGAAGAAUUGCAGGAAGAAAAAGAAUGUGAAAAACCACAAGGGGAUGAGGAAGAGGAGGAGGAGGAGGAGGAAGAAGUGGAAGAAGAAGAGGUAGAAGAGGCAGAGAAUGAGGGAGAAGAAGCAAAAACUGAAGGUCUGAUGAAGGAUGACAGGGCUGAAAGUCAAGCAAGCAGCUUAGGACAAAAAGUAGGCGAGAGUAGUGAGCAAGUGUCUGAAGAAAAGACAAAUGAAGCCUAAUCGUUUUUCUAGAAGGAAAAUAAAUUCUAAUUGAUAAUGAAUUUUGUUCAAUAUUAUCCUUGCUUUUCAUGGAAACACAGUAACCUGUAUGCUGUGAUUCCUGUUCACUACUGUGUAAAGUAAAAACUAAAAAAAUACAAAAUACAAAAACACACACACACACACAAAAAAUAAAUCCGGGUGUGCCUGAACCUCAGACCUAGUAAUUUUUCAUGCAGUUUUCAAAGUUAGGAACAAGUUUGUAACAUGCAGCAGAUUAGAAAACCUUAAUGACUCAGAGAGCAACGAUACAAGAGGUUAAAGGAAGCUGAUUAAUUAGAUAUGCAUCUGGCAUUGUUUUAUCAGUAUUAUCACUCUUAUGUUGGUUUAUUCUUAAGCUGUACAAUUGGGAGAAAUUUUAUAAUUUUUUAUUGGUAAACAUAUGCUAAAUCCGCUUCAGUAUUUUAUUAUGUUUUUUAAAAUGUGAGAACUUCUGCACUACAAAAUUCCCUUCACAGAGAAGUAUAAUGUAGUUCCAACCCGUGCUAACUACCUUUUAUAAAUUCAGUCUAGAAGGUAGUAAUUUCUAAUAUUUAGAUGUCUUAGUAGAGCGUAUUAUCAUUUAAAGUGUAUUGUUAGCCUUAAGAAAGCAGCUGAUAGAAGAACUGAAGUUUCUUACUCACGUGGUUUAAAAUGGAGUUCAAAAGAUUGCCAUUGAGUUCUGAUUGCAGGGACUAACAAUGUUAAUCUGAUAAGGACAGCAAAAUCAUCAGAAUCAGUGUUUGUGAUUGUGUUUGAAUAUGUGGUAACAUAUGAAGGAUAUGACAUGAAGCUUUGUAUCUCCUUUGGCCUUAAGCAAGACCUGUGUGCUGUAAGUGCCAUUUCUCAGUAUUUUCAAGGCUCUAACCCGCCUUCAUCCAAUGUGUGGCCUACAAUAACUAGCAUUUGUUGAUUUGUCUCUUGUAUCAAAAUUCCCAAAUAAAACUUAAAACCACUGACUCUGUCAGAGAAACUGAAACACUGGGACAUUUCAUCCUUCAAUUCCUCGGUAUUGAUUUUAUGUUGAUUGAUUUUCAGAAUUUCUCUACAGAAAACGAAAGGGAAAUUUUCUAAUCUGCUUUAUCCAUGUACUUGCAUUUCAGACAUGGACAUGCUGUUGUUAUUUGGCUCAUAACUGUUUCCAAAUGUUAGUUAUUAUGGACCCAAUUUAUUAACAACAUUAGCUGAUUUUUACCUAUCAGUAUUAUUUUAUUUCUUUUAGUUUAUAGAUCUGUGCAACAUUUUUGUACUGUAUGUCUUCAAACCUGGCAGUAUUAAUACCCUUCUUACUGACAUAUGUACUUUUAGUUUUAGAAAACUUUUAUAUUUAUGUGUCUUAUUUUUAUAUUUCUUUAUUUAUUACACAGUGUAGUGUAUAAUACUGUAGUUUGUAUUAAUACAAUAAUAUAUUUUAGUAUGAAAAUUUGGAAAGUUGAUAAGAUUUAAAGUAGAGAUGCAAUUGGUUCUCCUGCAUUGAGAUUUGAUUUAACAGUGUUAUGUUAACAUUUAUACUUGCCUUGGACUGUAGAACAGAACUUAAAUGGGAAUGUAUUAGUUUUACAACUACAAUCAAGUCAUUUUACCUUUACCCAGUUUUUAAUAUAAAACUUAAAUUUUGAAAUUCACUGUGUGACUAAUAGCAUGAUGCUCUGCAGUUUUAUUAAGAAAUUAGCCUAACCAUAAAACUCUCAUUUCCUUAGUAAGCCAAAUUAGGAUUAACUUCUAUAAACAGUGUUGGGAACAAUGUUUAACAUUUUGUGCCAAUUUGUUCCUGUAUUCAUGUAUGUAAGUUACAGAUCUGACUCUUCAUUUUUAAGUUCCUUGUUACAUCAUGGUCAUUUUCUAGUUUUUUACCAGACUCCCCCCAUCUCACAAUAAAAUGCAUCAACAAGCCUGAA